rnacentral:misc_RNA from 1 species
ACCGGGACCGCGGACCCAGCGCCCGUUGACGGCGGUUUCCUCGCUCGCGGGUACCUCCCAAUACGCCUCGAAUCCGCGAAAGUGGUCAAUGCGGACGA